rnacentral:lncRNA from 10 species
AAUAAAAGCAGGCUGCCGGAGUCAGCAGUGGCAAGCCGCUGGGGUCCUUUUCCACACUGGGAAAAGUUUGUUCUUUUGCUCUUGGCAACAAAUUUUGCUGCUGUACAAUUUUUGGGUCCACAUUGCCUUUAUGAGCUGUAACACUUGCCGCAAAGGUCUGCAGUUUCACUCCUGAAGCCAGCGAGACAACAAACCCACCAGGAGGAACAAACAACUCCAGAUGCACUGCGUUAAGAGCUGUAACACUCAAUGUGAAGGUCGGCAGCUUCACUUCUGAGCCAGCGAGACCGUGAUCCUACCAGAAGGAAGAAACUCCGAACGCAUCUGAACAUCAGAAGGAACAAACUCUGGACACGCUGCCUUAAAGAACUGUAACACUCACCGCGAGGGUCUGCGGCUUGAUUCUUGAAGUCAGUGAGACCAAGAACCCACCAAUUCCUGACACAAUACUAGGAUACUUAUAUUUAUUCUCACACCAGCUCCACUUUAUAAAAUUAGUUCAAUUGUUUUGUUUCAUUUUGAACUCAUUUUAGAUUUACUGAAGAGUUAGAAGGAUAACAGUGUUCUUGUAAACAUUCAUCUGGCUUCCCCAAAUGUUGACGUCUUACACAACCAUGGACUGCCAUGUAGAACAGAAGCAUCCCAUUUGGAGCACUGGUGACUGAGGAUUCUGGAAGAAGGAGGCCUGGGACCUUUAAUGCUAUUACCCACAAUUUCUCCACUGCCAUGGCAGAGAACCCACCCUCAUAUGGAAGCACUUCCCUUCUGUUCUUUUCAUUCCUUCUAUUAACCUUCUCCCCAUAGACCACCCACAGGCUGCCAGAGUUCCAAACUAUCUUCCCCAAACACAACACUCACCAUGGCCCUCCUCUGUGGGCUGUUCAUUGCAAACAGAAUUAAAUUCUACCUUUUAAUGAGGCUCAUUAAAUUCUACCUUUUAUUGGCUCAUACUGCUCCCUCCAUUUUCAUUUCUCACUAUCUUUCUCUUCAUAUCUAAAACUGGAGCCACACUGCAUUGUUUCUUCUUUAAAACACUCCUGCUACCCCAGGCCUCUGUGACUGUGCAUAGGAUGCCCUCUCCAGCUAGAAUGUCUUUCCACUUCUUUCUUCCCAUGGGCUUUUUCCUAUUUAUCCAUAGCACACCUGGGAUGUUAUCGUCUCUGUGAAAUCUUCCCUCCCUCCCUCAAACUCUAACCUCUGUGUUCCCACAGCAUCUUUCACCUAUUACACAAACCUCUGUUGUGGAACACAUUAUGUUGUUUCGAAACUUUUCUGUGUCGAUUUCUGCCUUUUUUGUUGGAGUGGGAGCUCUUCAAAAGCAGGCCCUGUCUUGUUUAUUUAUGUAGCUUCAGCAAAGGGCCUAGCACCUAACAAUGUUGCCAACAUUUUUCGAGUGCCUACUUUUUACUAGCACAACAAAUUACCUCACUAAAUCUAUAAAAGAACCCUAUAAAGGAGGUAUUUUUAAAUGCUCCCUAUUUUACAUAUGAGAAAACUGAAGCUCAUAGAGCAUAAUAGACUUUCCAAGGUGACACAGCCAAUAAAAUGUGGAGCCAGAAUUGGAAUUCAGGUGUCUUUGACUCCAAGGGCCCUUCUUAUAACCAUGGAACAAAUUGCCUCUGAGGACUAUUUCUGCAGUGACACAGAGGAACUGUCCCCAACUGUAGCAUCAUGAAAGUCACUUUAGAGCCAGUCUGGCUGAACCUCUCAUGUUAAUGAUGAGAAAACUGAGACCCGGAAAGGAAAGGUGGUAUGCAAUGGUUUCCUAACUUUGGAGCAAGAAUCUUGUUCAGCGCUUAGAUCUUCUGACCCCAAGGCUCUUUUCACUUUAUCACACUGAUAAUUUGGUGAGAGGCCAGCCACACCAUUUGUUUGACGAAAAAGGCAGCAUCACAUAUAAGAUCUUCUUAUAGAAAAUGGGCUUUAUUCUUGGCCGGCCAUGGUGGCUCACGCCUGUAAUCCCAGCACUUUGGGAGGCCAAGGCAGGUGGAUCACGAGGUCAGGAGAUCAAGACCAUCCUGGCUACCACGGUGAAACCCCG